UAACAAGGUAGCUGUAGGUGAACCUGCUGCUGGAUCAUUAACGACUAUAAACAUAAGCGUUGACUGUAAGUCAGUAGUCUGUGUAAGCUUGCUGCAUGUGUAAGCCGAGUCGAGUGUCCUCACCGACUCGCAUGGACGACCGCCUUAACGGCCUCUGUUGGUUUCUACGCCUUAUUGAGCAGUUGUUGCCUCUGUCCGUGACUGCGUUGAAGUAAGAGACACWCCACUUGUGGUGAGAAUCAAUGAGCUCACAGCUUGAGUGAGCCGCCAACACACAUUUUCAUUUACACAUUUUCCAUACUAAAGUAUUCUAGCCUUAUCGGUGGAUCACUCGGUUCGUAGAUCGAUGAAGAACGCAGCCAAAUGCGAUAAUUAGUGUGAACUGCAGAUAUUUUGAGCACUAAAGUUUCGAAUGCACAUUGCGUCGUUGGAUCCAAUCCUUCGACAUAUCUGGUUCAGGGUCGCAAACACAACAAGCAGUUAAACUGCUUUUGUAAGGGGAAUCGCUUUAAUAAAGCGUCUCCCCUAUUCAAUCAUAUUGCUUACUGGGCAGCCAUUGUCGUCUGUAGAUCCAAUGACUUCGGAUCAGGCCUUCAAUAUGACCAAGUAGGCAUUCGCUUACGACCUGAGCUCAGAUAUGAGUACCUGCUGAACUUAAGCAUAUCAGUA
rnacentral:rRNA from 1 species